GACACUUAUUACCUGUCAAAAUGUAAUUGAGAUUGUAUCACAAGGCUGAAAUUCUACAGUGGAUUAAUCCAAAGGAUUUCAGGCAGAAGGGAGAUAAGUCACGCUGUGUUGAAGCCCCACAUGGAAACUCAUUAUUUUGGAAGACUAGAGCUUGACACCAUCUCCGGCUGAGCAGCUGCUUAUGAAGAAUUGUACUCCUUCCCAGCCACAUGUGUAAUACUAACAAGGAAAUCAGCAGAAAACCUCUCAGCAGCUGGAAAAAACAAUAAAAAGGAGGACUCAAAAAUUUGAAUGUAUGGAAGAAUAAACUCUCCUUGUAUCUGUUAACAGAAACUGACCUUGCAGUAGUCUUCACAUCUUGUUUCUGCAACUUAGGUAGGACACGAACAGUACAACAACAGCCAUACAAAAUAUGUAAAUUCUAGUUCAGAAAAGGGUCUCACGUUUUGUUGAAUGACUCUGUUUUGAGCUGGAUAAAAGCCAAAAGAUUCAGUUUUUCUUCUGAAUAAAAUUCCAAAGCAUUU